CCAAGGAGUCUAACAUGUGCGCGAGUCAUGGGGUCGAAACGAAACCUAAAGGCGAAAUGAAAGUGAACGGAAACGAAGGUACGAUCCCGCUUAAUCCAUUCGGUUGGAUGGUGGGCGCAGUACCGGCCCGUCUCGUCCGCGCCGUCGGAGAGGCGGAGCAAGAGCGCACACGUUGGGACCCGAAAGAUGGUGAACUAUGCUUGAGUAGGACGAAGCCAGAGGAAACUCUGGUGGAGGUCCGUAGCGAUUCUGACGUGCAAAUCGAUCGUCAAACUUGAGUAUAGGGGCGAAAGACUAAUCGAACCAUCU
rnacentral:rRNA from 1 species